rnacentral:rRNA from 1 species
GACGAACGCUGGCGGCGUGCUUAACACAUGCAAGUCGAACGGAAAGGCCUUUUCGGAGGUGCUCGAGUGGCGAACGGGUGGGUAACUCGCGGGUGAUUUGCCCUGCCCUCUGGGUUAGGCCUGGGAAACUAGGUCUAAUACCGGAUAGGACCGCACUUCUGCGUGUGUGGUGGGAAGUGUUUUCGGGGUAGGAUGGGGCCGCGGCCUAUCCGCUUGUUUGUGGGGUUAUGGCCUUGCAAUGCGGAGACGGGGAGGCGGACUGGGGGGUUGGGCGGCCACAGUGGGGACGAGAUUCGGCCCAGACUCCCACGGGGGGCAGCCGGGGGGAAUAUUUCACAAUGGGCGGGAGCCUGAUGCAGCGACGCCGGGUGGGGGGAGACGGCCUUUGGGUUGUAAACCCCUUUCGGCAGGGAAGAAGCGUUUUGUGACGGUACCUGGUGAAGAAGCACCGGCUAACUACGUG